AACAGGACUAAUACUCUGCACAUCUAUAACCAGCCUUCCAGAUGAGGAUUGCUGUACACUUUAUCAUCUUUAAUAGAUUAUUAUUUUUAUUGCUUGUAUAGCAAUAGUUCACUGGGAGCUCUACAGACAGAUAUGACUACAAGGCCCCUGCUUCACAGAGCUUACCAUCUAAUUGUGCAAUGUACAAACACAUCCACACUGCUGUUAUUGGGAGUGGAAAGAGACCAGUGCGAGGAGGAAGCGGGGAGCCAAGAUGUGCAGAAUUGUGAAGACCAGGACAAGGAGUUUCAUUUAGAUGCAGCGCGUGAAAGGAGGUGAAUGAGAAGAGCUGGAUGGGAGCAGAGAAGCAGAUGCUGAAAUGAAAAUAAUUGCACAGAGCAACAGGAUACUACUCAGAUUCCUUGUGGACUCCACCCCAAUCUGUAAGUACAGUUUCUCUGGAACAGCAUGAGUGCCACAGGACAUGGAUGCUGUAGCCGGACCACAAAGGGUGGGAUCCACAAAGGAUUUAGGCAUUGCAGUGCUCAGUCUCACAGCACCUAAUUUUUAGGCACCUAGAAAAACACAAGAACAAUGCUGCGAUCCACAAAGCCUGAGUUAGGCACCUAACCUAACCUAAUGA